rnacentral:miRNA from 1 species
UGGGAUAUCUUGGAAGGUUUCU